CAAACUUUAAUUGAACAACUUGGAGUGUCGUGUGUGAAAUAGCCAACAUUAAUAUUAACACGACUUAUGCUUCACAAAAGUUAAAUAACCAAAUAAGAACAAGCUUUAACUUCAAUUCUCACCAAGGAUGUUCACUCCAAUGAAAGCACUCGAAAUUUUGCAACGUAGUGUCACUCAUAUAUGUGAGAAGAAUCAAAUCAGUACGAUGUACUCACAUAAAAUAAAAGCACAAGACAAGAAUAAAAGAUCUCAUGGAAAGAUAUCGCAUACUUGAAAACAUUUAAACCAUCCGACCAUAGUCCUUACACACCUAUUCUCCACAUGAGGAACCACACUUCUCCUUGGAUCAAGUAGGACUUUCAUUAAGGUUGUAAUAGGGCUUAGGGUGAUGGGUGAAACAAGAAAGAGACAUAGAUGAACAAACGAAGUCUAAGGGCUAAGUAAAGCUUUCCAUGAAAUUAUAACAUCUUGCACUUUAGCACACAAUUUUAUCUUGAUACUAUCUUUAUUUUUUUAUUUUUUUAUUUUUAUUUAUUUUUAACUCCAUUAGCUUUCUAAUCAACCCAUGUAAUAAGUGUUAGGCCAAUAACUCCCAAGCUAGAUAGCUUUAGGGUAUUAAGUGUAAAACACUCCUCGGGCUUAAAAACUCGAGUUGAAAAGGCUUCAGAAUCAGACCUGUUUUUUUUUUUUUUUUUUUUUUGAAACAGUAUCAUAUACACAUGAUUGAACAAUUUGUGCAAUUCUCCCUUAACCAUGAAAGUGCUCUACAAAGCUCCUUAGAAGGGUGUAGGAUAAAUAUGCAAAAGGUUCAGGUGAAGAGAAUUGGGUAAAGAAUGAUAAAGGCUUACAUAAAAGGCACAAGGGGUUGACUACGGAUAAAAUUGAUAUGGGUUGGCUGGAAAGGCUCAAACGAAUGAAACAAGGCCUAUAUCACUUCCUAGGAUCCAUGUGGUUCAUGAAAUAUGCCUCAAAUAGAUAAUGAAAGUAGUUCUAGCAAACAAUUUAAACAUCCUCAAAUACUUGACCAAAACAAAGAAUAAUGAGAUCACGACGACUUGUUGACAUGAAAAUUAUAGAAUAGUAUAUAACACUCAGGGAAGAAAGGUAUAGGCUCAAAAGCUCACAUAAUAAGGGUUGUACAAGUCUACACUAGCCUUAUUUGGGAAUUUAAAUCAUGUGAACUCCAAUCAAAACUCAUAUUAAUAUGGCUAUGUGCAAAAAUAUUUACCAAGUUUAAUCACAAAACUAAGGUUAACACAAGGAUAAUGUAAAGAAUUAAUAUCAUGCUCACAAUUCCUUGCAAGUUAAUUGUCAAUAAAAUUCAAUCUCAUCAUAGAAUUGGGAAGUGACUACUACAAAAAAAAAAUUAAUAAUAAUAAUAAUAAAAACUAGACUCAAAGUUAAAGAAAAUAUUUUUAAGUUUUUAUGACAUUUUUCUGAUUUUUUAUUUUUUAAUUUUUUUUAUAAGAAAAAAAAACUGAAAACAAAACAAAACAAUAGAAUAAAAACUAAUUAAAUAAAAACCAAAAGUUGAAGAGGGAUUGAAAAUCAAUCAACAAUGCUGCAGUUCUGACCCAGGCGCAAAGAAUGAUAUGUAUCUCACAAAAUACUUGGCCAAAGUUCACGUUCUUCAUAUGGUUGGAUUCAGAUCGAAAAAACAAAGAACGCAACGUGGGCAAAAAUACAAAAGCAGCAGCAGAAAAGGACAGAAUUUGAAACAAAGACAGAGGACUGCUGCAGCAUACAUUAUGAAACCAAAAGAACUCAAUCACCCACAACUUAAAACAAACAUUGUCCUCAAUGUUAAAAACAAAGAAACAUAAGUCAUGCAAAGUCAUUUAAAGAGAGAGAGAGGGGUGUGAGAACUUCCCGGGUUUGUGUAGAUGUAUGGAUGAGCAAAGCGUAGAAUACGUCGAAAUGAGAGAGGAUAGACAAUGAGACGAACUCAAAACACCCACAACUUGUGUCUUUGAAUGCCAACGGACCCGUAAUAGCUCCUUAAAGUCUUGGAAUGCGAUGAAAUUGGAACGAAAUUGAGCUGGAUAUGUAAUCAUGAAAAUCUGGAAAUCUAACUUUUAGCGACGAAAAAUCUGAUGAACACCGCGGCUAAAAGCUCUUUGUUGACGAAAAAUCUGAUGAACACCGUCGCUAAAAGCUCUUUGGUGACGAAAAAUCUUCAAAUUCUG
rnacentral:lncRNA from 1 species